rnacentral:lncRNA from 1 species
UUCCAUGGGCUGACUGGACUCCACUGGGAGUUCUUGAUGUCUCUCGUGUGGUUGUGUGAGAUAGUGGCUGGGACUGGACUCAUCUGAAGGCUUGACUGGGCUGGAUGCCCAAGAUAGCCCACUUUUAGACAGAGGUGGCUGGCAGUUGAUGCUGACUGUCAGCUGGGGACUCAGCUGAGAGUGUUAACUGGAGUCCCUAGACGUGGCUUCUCCACAUGGCUUGGGCUUCUCAUGGAAGGGCACCUGGAUUCUGAGAGAGAGCAUCCCAAGAGACACAAGUGGAAAUGAUAAGGCUUCUUAUGACGUAGACUGGAGGUACUGAGACAUCACUUUUGCUACAUUAGAAGGUUAGAUGCUGACAUUUUAUGAUUUCACAACUUGGAUCCUCUGUCCUCUGAUACUGAAUCAGAUAGUAGUUUAUGGAGCUGAGCAGAGAGCCAGCUGGUCCUGGGCACAGAGGAGGCUGUGUUCCAUGCUGAAGACAAGAACAUAUGGUGGACGUACCAUCCUAACUAUCUGGGAAGGGAGCUUCGUGGCUACAUGGGAGUUAUCAUCUGCCAGUGCCGGCUGCAUCCUGGCUGUGCCCACCUCUGGACUCUGAAUCUCUGCACCUCAGUACCCCCAACCCCAACACGACUGUGAUGUUAGGCAUAUAUUAGGCAUGUGAAGAUGAGAAAGAGAAGAUACAGCUCCCAUGUUUAUCUCCAUGAGAAGAUAAGCCACAGGGAGAGAGAAAGACUGUUGUGCACGAGAGGGAGUGUCAAAUGCCAAAUGGAUGUCAGCAGUCGGGGUGUGCUAGAGGCACUCAGGGGAAGGGAGGCUGGGCAUAGAGGGUCAUGCUGGAGGAGGUGACUCUGGAUCUGAAUCUUGAAAGGUGAGUAGGAAUUACUCAAGGAAGGAAUGGGAAGGGCAUUUCAGGGGAGAGAUCCAUGUGAGUGAAAUAUGAGGACUGGCAGGGAACAGCAACCCACGUGGGUAACCGCAGAGUGACAGGAGGUGAGAGGUGGUGGGAGAUGGAGCUGGAGAUGCAGGCAGGGCCCAGGGUCAUGCAGGGCCUGGGAGGACAGGUUACAAUAUUCCCAUUUUCCUAGACUAGGACCUAGAAGCUCGGGAAGAUAAAGGGACUUGACUAAGGUCACAUAACUUGUAAGUGACCAGUCAGGCUUCGAACCCAGGACUCUGUGACGCCUCAGUCUCACCCCCUUUGCAUCAUCGUGUAAUGGCAGUUGCUGCUGCUGGUUUUCCCAGCUCCCUCUCCCAUUUCUCUGAGGCUCCUGGCAGACAAAGGGUGUUGCUUUUCUGCACCAUUUAUUGUAGUGACUUCAAUUAAACCAUCUUGUGCUGGAUCAGUGAGCAGCUCUAGGGAAUCGAUGAGCAGCACUGGCUACCAGGGAAGCAGAGUCUCCUCCCUUUGUUCCUGCCAAUCCUAGGUCUGGGUUCCUGUCCCCAGGUCUAGGGAGGACUCAAGAGAGGAAAUGGGGACCAGGGGGGCAGGUAGCAAAUCAUGAGACAAGGAAGCAAGUGUCUAUUACCUUCCUGACAUUGAGGGUGGGUGGCCAGCCCUUGGAUGUUCAUCUUUCCUGGCCCUGCCCACUGCUGCCCUUGCUCAGCUGCCUUCCUCUGGCUAAUUGGGACCUGCAGCUGCAGCUCCAAGACAAUGGGGCAUCCCACCUGGCUGCCUUCGGUGCAGGCCCAGUGUGCAAGGAACCUGGGCCCCAAGGAAGAGGAGCUAAGGGCCCUGUCCUAACUUGCUACAUGGCCUUUGGCAGAUUGCCUCCACUCUCUGAGGCUUCUUCUGGGGAAAAACAACAGGGUGGAAAUUGCAGUACAUGAUGCUGUUGUUCUCCACUUGUCGUCUUCAAUUCAUUGUCUCUCCUUCUUAGAAUUGCUCUGUGCCUCAGAAGGCUGAUCCCUGUGGAAUGAAUCAAUGGGUUCCUGUGUCUAUUGGCUCCAGUAUGAUUUGGCCACUGGGAGACACAGGCAGGAGGCUGGAAAGUGGGAGAGUAUUUCUUCUCUGCUACCUCUCUGCUUUGAUGCAGGGUUGGGCCAGUGCCAUUCUGCCUGGCUAUAGCUUCUUUCCAGCAGUCCUUCCCACUGCUCCAGGCCUCAGUGGGCUCCAGUAACCUUCUUUAGGCCCAUGGGUGGUUUCCAGCAUGAUAUGGUUUGGAUCUGUGUCCCUGCCCAAAUCUCAUGUGGAAUUGUAAUCCCCAUUGUUGGAGGUGGGGCCUGGUGGGAGGUAAUUGGAUCAUGAGGGCAGUUUUAAUGCUUAAGCACCAUUCCCCUAGUGCUGUUCUCAUGAUAGGGUUCUCAUGAGAUCUGGUUGUUUAAAAGUGUGUAGCACCUCCACCCUCUCUCUCUUCCUCCUGCUCUGGCCAUGUGAAUGCCUGCUCUGGCUUUGCCUUCUGCCAUGAUUAUAAGUUCCCUGAGGUCUCCCCAAAAGCAGAUGCUGCCAUGCUUCCUGUACAGCCUGUGGAACUGUGAGCCAAUGAAACCUCUUUUCUUUUUUUUUGAGACACAGUCUCGCUCUGUGGCCCAGGCUGGAGUGCAGUGGCAUGAUCUCGGCUCGCUGCAACCUCCACUUCCCGGGUUCAAGUGAUUCUCCCACCUCAGCCUCCUGAGGAGCUGGGAUUACAGACACUCCCCACCAUGCCUGGCUAAUUUUUGUAUUUUUAGUAGAGAGAGGGUUUCACCAUGUUGGCCAGGCUGGUCUCGAACUCCUGACCUCAAGUGAUCUGCCUGCCUCCGCCUCUCAAAGUGCUGGGAUUACAGGCAUGAGCCACCAUACCCAGGGCCUCUUUUCUUUAUAAAUAACCGAGUCUCAGGUAUUUAUAGCAAUGCGGCAACACACUAAUACACAGCAGUUUGCAGUCUCUGGGUUUCUCAAUAUUCUUCUUGGUUUCUUUAAUCUAGCCUUCUGUAAAUAGUACCUCCUCAGUAAGGUCUCUUCAGUUGAACUAUUUGAGCAGAGUUCUGUUUCCUGUUGGGACACUGAUGUAUUCUCUGAAGGCUCUUUCCAACUCUGAAGUCUUACACGUUCGUGAGGGGACGAUGUAACGACCUGGCUGACUCUCAGGCACCGGAGCCUGGGUUAUCCCGUGACAGUUUACAGGCUGAGUGAUCCCAGCUCCUCGGUAGUUCUUUCUUCCCCUCCUUUGGUCCUCAACCUUCACAGCCUUUGCUCAGAUUCCCAUCAUUUAUUUCUUGUUUUAAUCCGACUUUAUUGAGGUAUAAAUUACAAAUAGCAAACUACAUCCAUGAAAGUAUACAGUUAGAUGAAUACCUAUCUGUUAAAGCUUGAAUGUUUGUGUCCCUCUAAAUUCAUGUUGAAACUUAAUCCCCAUUGUGGUGGUAUUAACAGGUGGGGCCUUUUGGGAACUGAUUAAGUCAUGAGGGUUCUUCCCUUGGGAAUGGGAUUAAUGCUCUUGUAAAAGAGGCUUCAGAGGCUGGGCGUGGUGGCUCACGCCUGCAAUCUCAGCACUUUGGGAGGCUGAGGUGGGCGGAUCACAUGAGGUCAAGAGUUCAAGACCAGCUGGCCAACAUGGUGAAACCCCGUCUCUACUCAAAAUACAAAAAUUAGCUGGGCAUGGUGGCAGGCACCUGUAAUCCUAGCUACUCAGGAGGCUGAGGCAGGAGAAUCACUUGAACCUAGGACACGGAGGUUGCAGUGAGCCUAGAUUGUGCCAUUGCAUUCCAGCCUCGGCAACACGAGCAAAACUCUGUCUCAAAAAAAGAGGCUUCAGAGAGCUGCCUGGCCCUUCUCAUCCUUCUGCCAUGUGAAGACAUAGCGUGCAUCCCCUCUGGAGGGUAUAGGAACAAGGUGUCAUCUUGGAAGGAGAGAGCAAGCCCUCACCAGACACCAAAUCUACCGGCACCUUGACCUCCAGAACUGGUUGCCCCAGCAAUGGCCCUUCUUCCUCGUGGCAGAAGCUGGCUCUAGUUUCUAGCUCCUUUCAACGCUCCCAGAACCAGCCUCCCUAUGCCACCUUAGAGUGCAGUUCCUGUUCUCCUGGCUGGACCCUGACUGAUGCCAUGGGGAAAGCCCUCGGGCUCGUGGACCUUAAAUUCCAGGUCCUGUUGUGCCCAACUCAUGAUUUAUCCAGGUCACACCAGUCUGGUCUGUCACAGUAAGAGGGCACCAUCACAUACACUAUAAUAUGAAUCAUGACCCCCGGAGUUGUGUGGAGUUUCUGCAUCUCUCCCUCCCCACUGUGGCUACCCUCAUCCAGCAACCAUCCUGUCUCUCACCGGUAUUACCGCAGCUGAGACCCAGGUCUUAAGGAAGCUGAGACCCAGGCCAGCAGGGGCCUCACAGCUUGGAAAAAGAGGAGGGUGUAAGACUCUGGAUGAAGCUGAGAGAUCCUUCCAUGCUUGGCUGAGAGACUACACAGACAUGAGCUUCAGGAGACUCCAAAGCCUCGGAUCCCCUUCUAAACUAGCACUGAAUUCUGAUUGGCUGUCUUUGCCUGCCUCAGUUUGUUCCUUUUACUGAUUGGCUAGGUUCUUCUGCCCAUGGCAGAGCCCUGCUCCAGCCACCGGAUCCUCCCACCUGCCACAGUGUCACCUGGGAUUGGCUGGGCUCUGAAAGGCCAGGCUGGCUUGACUCUUGCCAUCAUCAGAUUCUUCCUCAUUAAACAAAUGAAUCACAAUCCUAAUUAAUUUGAGCAACAGAAUUUAUGUAACUACUCCCAGCAGGAUGUCUGCUCUCAGUCAGCAGAGAGAUUACUUCCUCUCUCUGGGAAAUUCCAGCCUUGCUGGUCAAUAAGCCUUAAUGAUGACUGAAAUCUCCCAUCUGUCUCUGCUCAGGGCAGGUAACCCCUACUAAGCAGACACCCAGUUGGCUCGAGGCAGUACCCCGGGCACCGGCAGGACAAGGACAACGAUCUCCCAGCCUAGAUGUGUCCUGAGCCACAUGGAGCACACAGAUUACAGGAUCUGACUCCCAUUUGGGCCUUCCACCUCCGCUGGCCUAAGCAGUCAAGUGUCAGAGAGCACUGGACCUAACAGCUCCCUCACCAGAGCAGCUGUGAUUCCUUCUUCAUUUCCAGCAGGGAAGACCCAACAACUUUUAUAAUAUGGGAUUUCUUUUAUUCUCAUGAUAAUAAUGUUCAUUGUGGAAAAUAAAAAAAAAUGAUAAAAUAAAAAUCAGCCAGAAUUCCAACUUCUGGAGAUUUUGGUGUCUUUCUGCAAAGUUCCUAUGCACAUAGAUACUUUAUAAAAUUAUGAACAUACUGUACAUACAGUUUUGGAAUAUGCCUUUUUCCUUCUGUCAUGAAAAAGUCUUCAAAUGCCUUUUAACAGCUACACAAUAGUUCACUACAUGAACCAACUCAAAUGUAACUAUUUUUGGCCUUUUGUUAUAAAUAACACAAGAACCCUCAGUCUUUGUUACAUAAUGUCCUAACAGAGUAGGGGAAAUGCUCCCCAAUCCGGUGCAAUGUCCUGUGCCCAGGGAAACCAAUU